GAUGAACGCUGGCGGCGUGCUUAACGCAUGCAAGUCGAACGGAAAGGCUCCUGCUUGCAGGGGUACUCGAGUGGCGAACGGGUGAGUAACACGUGGGUGAUCUGCCCUGCACUUCGGGAUAAGCCUGGGAAACUGGGUCUAAUACCGGAUAGGACGAUGGUUUGGAUGCCAUUGUGGAAAGUUUUUCGGUGUGGGAUGAGCUCGCGGCCUAUCAGCUUGUUGGUGGGGUAAUGGCCUACCAAGGCGUCGACGGGUAGCCGGCCUGAGAGGGUGUACGGCCACAUUGGGACUGAGAUACGGCCCAGACUCCUACGGGAGGCAGCAGUGGGGAAUAUUGCACAAUGGGCGCAAGCCUGAUGCAGCGACGCCGCGUGGGGGAUGACGGCCUUCGGGUUGUAAACUCCUUUCGCUAGGGACGAAGCGCAAGUGACGGUACCUGGAGAAGAAGCACCGGCUAACUACGUA
rnacentral:rRNA from 1 species